CAAUAGCGUAUAUUUAAGUUGCUGCAGUUAAAAAGCUCGUAGUUGGAUUUCGGGUGGGAAUGGCCGGUCCGCCGUUUCGGUGUGCACUUGCUACGCCCACCUUGCUGCCGGGGACGUGCUCUUGAGUUCACGCUCGGGACACGGAGUCGGCGAGGUUACUUUGAGUAAAUUAGAGUGUUCAAAGCAGGCCUACGCUCUGAAUACAUUAGCAUGGAAUAACACGAUAGGACUCUGGCCCAUCUUGUUGGUCUGUAGGACCGGAGUAAUGAUUAAGAGGGACAGUCGGGGGCAUUCGUAUUUCAUUGUCAGAGGUGAAAUUCUUGGAUUUAUGAAAGACGAACUACUGCGAAAGCAUUUGCCAAGGAUGUUUUCAUUAA
rnacentral:rRNA from 1 species